CUAACUGCUUCAGGAACCGGUACCGGUUCCUACAAAUUGGCCUCAGCUGUUACCAACAUAGGGUCAGAUUACAAGUGGAGUGCAAAAUGUCACUUUAGCUAAUUAAAGCGAUAUUGCCGACAGAGACGGCAUCAGAACCUAGCACAGCAAAGAGAACUCCCAUUCAUUCCAAUGCCUGCAACUUUUAAAUUGCGGAGAAGAAAAGGAU